UCAAGGGACUUCUUAGGAUGUUUUGGUCCAGGUAUCAAUAUACUCAUGAAAAGCAAUUCUUUUUCCAUACACAUCUCUGGUGGAAGGUUGUAUGGCGUCAAGAAGACUGGCCAAAGCGAGUAUUGUCUUCCAGACAUUCCAAAUGGACUAAAGCCAUCUGUGCAGAGCCCAAGAUAAACGUUGCGGGGGUUGCUUGCAAAAUCAGGGUACACCGAGUUCAAGUGCUUCCAAGCUUUUGCAUCAGAGGGAUGAUUGAUCUCUCCUUCCUUCUGAUCAUGUUCCGCAUGCCAUCUCAUCGAUGCUGCCGUCUUCGCAGAUUGAUAUAAUCUCUUCAGUCUAUCCUUAAUAGUAUAUCAUACAGUUGUCUAUACAAACAUUAAUCAUCUCAAGAAGGUAAACAAAGACUAUGAACAAGUUUCUGAAUCUCAUAAUAAGAUUCAGCACACAAAUUCUCUUCAGGCAAAUACUCUUUAAACAACUCAGCCCAUGCAUCCAUACAAACUUCAGGUCAAAUGCUAUAAUGAGUUUGAGGUAUGUCAGCUAGCCAAAUGAGUUUGAGGUAUGUUAGUUAGCCAAGGUUAAAAUAUAUAACAAAUCGUGGAAGAAAUAACAUGUUACUUUUUAGCAAAAUAAAAAAUAAAAAAUAACAUGUUACUUGGGAUCCAUUGACGUUGAAAACCAUGAAGAAGGUUUUAACAUUCAAAUGUGAAAUA